UUUGUCUGUGUACUGUGUUACCUGACGGACGCACCUCUGGGCCCUCGCUACAAGUUAUAUUCUGGAUGACCUUCACGUCCCAGGGAAGGGCGACCAUGCCUGGGAGGUCAACUUGGGUCAUGUUGUGGAUGAUGAUGAUGGAGACUUGCUUUCAAGGCUCUACUGCUUUCGUCUUAACAGGUACUGACCCGGCGUGUGGUAACCUGGGCCCUGGAUCAUGUCAGUUCAGGGCCGCCAAGUGUGGAGUGGUGAAGGAGCUACCAGGGCAAGAGCGGCCCCGUGAAGGAUGUGUCUGACUGUGCUACAACACUUGGCAUCCCGAAGACCCAGAUUGUUCCUGUGAUCGGCCCGGCUUUCGCGUCUGGUCACCCGGAGACCAUCGUGGACCGCAUCACAAGCGACCCAGCCACCACUCUUAAGCUCCGUCGCUGUGUCUUGACUGCCGGUGGUCUGGUAACAAUGAACGGGAUGCUGGACCGGGCAGCCAUGGUCACUAGGCUGCAGCAGGAGACCUUCUCAACACACCCCCUCGUGAUCGACACCAUCGCCGCCGCCGUCACCCAGUGCCCUGAACCAGAGAACCUCCAGAUAGCGAGCUUCCUGACGUGUGUGCGGUCAGCGUGUAUACAACAGAUGCCUCCUGACGUGGCCAACCUCCCCAUCUUCUCCUACAGCGACGACGACGAUGAUGAUGACCACAAGAAGAAGAGAGAAGGGAAAGAAAUGCAAGAAGCACUAACAGAUGACGAGAG